AUGGAGAGCACCCAGAGCAACAGUGUGAGGAGCCAUUUCAUCCUGGUGCACGGCCUCUGCCAUGGGGCUUGGUGCUGGUACAAAGUGGUCGCGGCGCUCGAGGCCGCGGGGCACCGCGUCACGGCGAUCGACCUCGCCGCUUCGGGUACCCACCCGGCGCGCGUUGACGAGGUGCACUCGUUCGAGGAGUACUCGCGGCCGCUGCUCGACGUGGUGGCCGCGGCGCCGGCGGGUGACGGCGAGAGGCUGAUUCUGGUCGGGCACAGCCACGGCGGCCUCAGCUUGGCGCUAGCCAUGGAGAGGUUCCCCGGCAAGAUCGCCGCUGCCGUGUUCGCGGCCGCCGCGAUGCCGAGCGUCGGGAAGCACAUGGGCGUCACCACCGAGGAGUUCAUGCGAAGAACAUCAUCGAAGGGACUACUCAUGGACUGCGAGAUGCUGCCAAUCAAUAACAACGAGGGUGCAGGAGUUGCAAUCAUAAUGGGCCCAGACUUCUUAGCACGCAAGUAUUACCAGCAAAGUCCACCUGAGGAUUUGGCCCUUGCAAAAAUGUUGGUGAGGCCGGGAAACCAGUUCAUGAAGGAUCCAGUGAUGAAGGAUACAAGCCUGCUCACCGAUGACAACUACGGGUCGGUGAAGAAGAUAUACAUGGUAGCCAAGGCUGAUGGCUCCAGCACCGAGGAGAUGCAGCGUUGGAUGGUGAUGUUGAGCCCUGGCACGGAGGUCGAGGAGAUCGCCGGAGCUGACCAUGCCAUCAUGAGCUCUAGGCCUACGGAGCUCUGUGAUGCUCUGGUCAAGAUCGCCAACAGCUUAAAUACUUGCUAA
rnacentral:rRNA from 1 species